GUGCUCACUUCGGCAGCACAUAUACUAAAAUUGGAAUGAUAAAAGAUUAGCAUGGCACCUGGGCAAGAAUGACAUGCAAAUUCAUAAAGCGUUCCAUAUUUUU